ACGGAGGAUGCGAGCGUUAUCCGGAUUUAUUGGGUUUAAAGGGUGCGUAGGUGGACUGUUUAGUCAGUGGUGAAAUGCUGAUGCUCAACGUUAGCAUUGCCGUUGAAACUGACAGUCUUGAGAGUGAUUGAGGCAGGCGGAAUGUGUGGUGGAGGGUAAAAAAACAAACAUAACACACGGAACCCCAAUGGCGAAGGACCCUUAAAAAGCCACAACUGACACUGAAGCACGAAAGCGUGGGGAUCAAACAG
rnacentral:rRNA from 1 species